rnacentral:lncRNA from 1 species
GGCCACAUGGUGAGGCAUUAGUACCAGUGAUCCCUCCUGCUGAUGUCACCACGCUGAUAAGGAGGGAGCAUGGCUGGUGAAGCCCUUAUCUGUAGAGGCCAUCUGAAAUGGCACUGCACAGGCUGGGAGACAAGCGGCAAGAAAGCAGAAAGGGACCUGGGGUGUUGAUGACAGCAAGGAUGUUAGGGUCCUUGAAGGCAUCAAGAGGAGGGCAACAAAGCAGCCAAUUCUACAUUCCAAGCCUGGAUCGCCUGUACUUUGCUGCCAUUGCUUGUGGCAGGUGUUACCAACAACCAGAGCAAAAGCAGCCAAGUUCACUGCAGCGUGCCAAAAGUGUGCCACAGCCCGGGCCCACAUCUUUGUCCGCAAGGUGCAGCCAAGCACAGCACUCCAGAAGGACAGGAAUCACCAGUGAGCAGUUCCAGGUCAGCCUUCAUCAACGUUUGGGCCUCCUGAUGGCUUCCAAACUGAAAUACUCUUCUUCUGUGCUUCUACCUGGCCACAAAUUGAGCUGCUGCCAUUGUAACAGAUUCUGGCCUUCCUGCACUAGUAGGUACACCUUGAGAACACCGUGGCACUCCUGUACACAAAGCCAAAUCUGGGCUGCACAAAAUGAGGUUUUUAUUUCGCUUCUUGGAUCAAAAUCUGGUUCCUAGGCCCCAUCUUGCAAGCCAAUUUAAUUGAUUUCACACGCAAACUCCUUCUCAAAAUUAGGACUCUGCAUUUUUUAUCCUGAAUUAUCUCUUUGAGACUCAUUGCUAGCAUUAAAGGAGACAAUUAACGAAACUGAUUCAUCAGAACUGGCAGUGUCCUGCAACCAUCAAUAGAAAUCGAUCUUUAGGGCAGUCAGCCAUUAAAAAAGAGGAGAAUAUAAGUGUUAUUAGCUUAGAUGUGUAACCUGAUUACACAGAAAUCUCAAUGGCACUUACUGUGAAUAUUUAUCUGCUUUCCAUAGCGCUCUGUCAAAUACAAAUGGACAGCAUUGGUUAUAAUGGUGCAAUCCCAUUAUACUAAGAGAUAAACGCCACAAAACAAAAUAGGUUGAGCAACUAACACACUCACUGCCGUAUUGAUUUGUAUGUUCACAGAGCAUGCACAGCCACAGAUCUCAGCAGCCAUUAAAGGUUUACUUCACUCUCUGUGUGUCCUGAUCCUGUGCCUGCUCCUCAGUGAAAUUCUCUGCAAAUGCUCAGUUUAGAAGAGACGAAUGAGCAGCCAUAUCCAGUGCAGAUGAAUUCCCGAGCCAAGGAUGUAAAUUCAUGGCACAAACAAGGAAUGCUUCUUACAGAGCACACAGGGCACUGAUGCUGGCAUGUGAUUGUGCUUAAAUUUUGAAGUAGGUGAGAGGCGGAGAGUUUGUAUUUUUCAGAUUUGAAGACACAGGAGAGAACCUGAGACUGAAGGAACUGGGGCUGUUUAGUCUGGGGAAGAGGAGGCUGAGGGGAGACCUUAUUGCUCUCUUCUUAUAUCUGAAAGGUGCUUACAGCGAGAGCGGGGUUGGUCUCUUCUCACUGGUGACAGGUGACAGGAUGAGGGGAAAUGGCCUCAAGCUGUGCCAGGAUAAGUUUAGGUUGGAUAUCAGGAAACACUUCUUUACAGAAAGGGUGGUUAAGCACUGGAAUAGGCUCCCCAGGGAGGUGGUUGAGUCACCAUCCCUGGAUGUGUUUAAAAACCGUUUGGAUGUGGUGUUCAGGGCCAUGAUUCAGCAGAGGGUUGUUAAUUAAGGUAGUAUGGUUAGGCUGUGGUUGGACUCGAUGAUCUUUAAGGUCUCUUCCAACCUGAGCGAUUCUACGAUUCUGUGAUACUAUGAACCUCGUAUUCAAGCAUAGAAUGAUUGGAGGGGAUGAGCUGGGUGGAAACAUAGAAUCAAAACCACUGCCUCUCCAGAUUUCUCCUGAGGAUUUUAACCUACAUGUUAUUACAGCUGAAAUAUAAACCAGAGGUACCCUUUGGACUGGUUUAUUGCACUUACCUUUAGCAACUCAUGGGCAUAGACACCCUUACCACUAGCAGCAAUAGCUGGCAAUAAAAGGUGUAUGAUGGAUGGAUAGAAAUUGGCAUCUAAAAAGAUUCUUAGUCAAUUUUACAUGCCUGAGGUUCUUAAAAAAGGAGAUCUGCUAAUACAAAGAAAUACAACCCUACUACUGAGUAGGAAUUGCUUUGAGAAGAGAUUUUGCUUGAAUCUGAUGUAAGGCCAUUCACAGUAACAAAGAAUAUGUAUUGCCUAUUAAAAAAUAACAGCCCUUUGGCCUUUGGGAAGUAUUCAUAGAAUCAUAGAAUCUUUUGAAUUAGAAGGGAUUUUUAAAGGCCAUCUAGUCCAACUCCCCCUGCACUGAACAAGGACACCUACAGCUACACCAGGUUGUUCAGAGCCCCACCAGCCUGACCUUCAGUGUCUCCAAGAACAGAGCAUCCACCACCUUUGGAUGUCAGGGGGAAGUUCUUUACACAGAGAGUGGUGAGGUGCUGGAACAGGCUGCCCAGAGAUGCUGUGGGUGCUCCGUCCCUGGAGGUGUUCAAGGCCGGGUUGGAUGGGGCCCUGGGCAACCUGAUCUAAUGCCAGAUCUGGAGGUUGGUGGCCCUUCCAUGGCAGGGACUUGGAACUUGGUGAUCCUUGAGGUCCCUUCCAACCCAAGCCAUUUUAUGAUUCUAUCAUGCACUCUGGGUGACCUGUUCCAGUGCCUCACCACCCUCAUUGUAAAACACUUCUUCCUUAUAUACAGUCUAAAUCUCCCUUCUUUUUUUUUUCCUUUCAUUUGAAACCCUUCCCCCUUGUCCUUUCACCAUGGACCCUGAUAAAGAUUCUGCCUCCUUCCUUCUUAUAGUGCCCUUUAAAUACUGAAAGGUUGCUAUCAAAUCUCCAGAGCUUUCUCUUCUGCAGGCUGAACAACCCCAGCUCUCUCAGCCUGUCCACACAGGGUAGUUGUUCCAUCCCUUGGAUCAUUCUUGUGGCCCUCCUCUGGAUGUGCUCCAACAGGUCUGUGUCUCUCCUGUACUGAGGACUCCCCAUCUGGAUGCAGUACUCCAGGUGAGGCCUCACCAGCACAGAGCAGAGGGGCAGAAUUACCUUCCUCAAUCUGCUGGCCACACUUCUUUGGAUGCAGCCCAGGAUGUAGUGGGUUUUCUGGGCUGUAAAGGCACAUUGUUGGCUCAUGUCCAGCUUGCCACCCACCAGUACCUCCAAGCCCUAUUCAGCAGGGCUGUGCUCCAUCCAUAUAUCCCCUAGCUUGUACUGAUAGUGCAGGUUACCACAACCCAGGUGCAGUACCUUGCGCUUGCAUUUACUGAACUUCAAGAGGUUCGUGGGUGCUACACUGCCUUUUUUCCAGUCACUGGGAACUUCAUCUGACCUCCGUGACUUCUCAAGUAUCAUUGAGGGUGGCUUGGUGACUGUGUCAGCAAAUUACUUCAGGACUCUGGGAUGCAUCUCAUCACGACCCACAGAAUUAUGGAUGUUCUGGCUCCUCAGGCAGUCAUGAACCUGAUCUUCACUUACAGCAGGAGGAGCAAUGCUCCCCCAGCUCCCACCUUCCAAACUGUCUGCUUGAGGGCUAUGUGUAGAGCAGUCACUAGUGAAGACCAGAGCAAAAAAAAAAGGCCUCAGCCUUCCCUGUCCAUUGUCACCAGCCUGUCUGUAUUGCUCACUAGGAGGUGUGCACCCUUCUGGACUUUAUUUUUCUGGUUGACGGACAUGUAGAAGCCUUCUUUGCACCCCUUGCCAUGUCCAGUUCCAGUUGAGCCUUGUCCUCCCUGACUCCAUCCCUACACAGCUCAGCGGUAUCCCUGUACUCCUUCUAUGUUACCUGUCCCUGCUUCUAUUGCCUGUGCACUUUCUUCUUGCUCUCUAGUUUGACCAGCAGGCCCUGUCCAGCCAUGCCAGUCUCCUGCUUUCCUUUCCUGACCUCCUACACCGGAGCAUGGAGAUUUCUUGUGCACUAUGGAAAGGUCUGCCAGCUCUGCUCUGCUCCCUUGUCCUUGAGGACAGAUUCCCAGGGGUUUUUGUUGUCUAACUCCUUGAAGAGCUGGAAGAUGGCUAGCACAUAGUCUCUCCAGCUUAGCUGUGUUAUCCCACACAUUGUCGUGAGCAGGCUCACUAUCACUCAUUUCCCACUUGAAACCUAGCUUAAAGCCCUGUCAGUGAGCCUAGACAACUCCUGGGCUACAGUUCUUUUCCCCCUGUGACUUAGGUGGACCCCAUCAGCAGCCAUCAGGAUGGAGAACUGAUUUACUCCAGGCCAUAAAAUCAUUUGCUUGCAUCAUGGAAGAACAAAUGUGUAGUGAUUUUCAAUUAACACUUUUCCUUCUCUAAUUUUACCAGAAAAACAGCAACAAAAAACAAACUUGUCCCAGAGAUUUUGUAAUUUCUAAUCUGCACUGUUAUUAUUUCCAUAAAAUUACGGAUGGUAUUAGUGCUUUUAAGCGCAACGCUGACAGCCUGCAGCCAAAACCACAUGCCAUUAACCAGGUGGGACAGGGCUGAAACUCUCUCGUGUGUUGUUUUGCUGGGCUCGGUUCUGACAGUAGGUGUCAGCAGCAGCUCACCAAGGAGCCCUCUGGUGCCAGAAGUGCCGCUGAGCAGAGUGUAGGGUACAACCGCAGUCCCACUGCGUCUCCUUUUACCAGACUACUCCGAUAAAGAAAAACAGAGUCUGAGUGCUGAACAUCACAGAUGAUUGCAGACAACUGAGCCAACGAACAAGACACGUUUGCAGUCAACUGAGCCAACGAACAAGACAAGCUGCAAGUGAAGCUUUGGUUUCACACUUGGGUCAUUCACACAACUGGUAGGGUCGUGCACAAGGCACACAUUGAUAUUGUUACUUGUUGCAGAAUAUUGCACGCUGAGAACAUGAGUGCCUGCUCUGAGGUCCAGAACACAGCAGGAAAUCUGCUCAAACAGCAGCAACAAAGCAGGAGUAAAUAGAAAGCAAAUCAAAGGUCUCACUGUGAUCUGACUGCCAUAGACAGAUGCGUAAGGAAGACUCAGGGGCUGUAAUUCUAAGGCGAGGAUUUCAAAUAAAACCAUACUAAGGUCCUUCAUUACCACCAAAUUCAUUUCACACAUUCUGGUAAAUGAGUGCAAUGGGAGAAAGCUGGCUAAAAAGUAGAAAUCUUGGGAGAUGCACUGUUGAUACAGAAGUAAGACAUCCUAUAGGGAAAACUCUAAAUUUGGCCCUGAGCAAAUCCACAUACAUGAAAAGAAGUGACAGCUAUUUUAUCUGGACACUCGUGAGUUCUGGUAUCCUCUCACAUGAUACUUUAUAACCAAGCUAGCAAACAAGGCACAGAUCGGGUACUGCUGUCCUAGCUCGGAAAGCUGCAGUUAUAGCACACUUAUGUAACCACGCAGAGCAGCUGGUCAGCACCAAACUGCAAAAGCCUACAAAAUGAGGUUAUGCAGGCAUCUGCCCUCGGUCUGCUCAUCAGCUACAUGCAAGAUUAUAUUUAUUAAACCUGGGGACAUGCUAAGCUGGAAGGAGUUGCAAGCACUUUGAGGGAGAAAUUUGUAGUUCAUAAUGAAGUUGACAAGCUGUGAAAUAAACAUGUCAAACAUCAGCAGAUACAAUGCUUUAGUCCUACAAUCACAAGAUAAGAGAAUACAUUCAUCGGACCCAUUUUUCAGAAAGAAUCAGGGUAUGCAAUGAAUCAUGCACUGAUCAUGAGUCAGUCGUGUCAUAUCGUUACAGAAAAGCAAAGUCUUUCAAAGAAUUAAUAGAAUUAAUACAAAGAUGAUGCAGGUGAGAUAACAUAACACAGAGGCACUUGCAGCAGGAGCAGUGUGUGUUGGUGCCUCACUGCAAGGAGCAUAUGAACUAAGAGGACAUACUUGAAAAAAAAUGAGAAUUUGAGAAAAAGAGGCUGAGAGCUUAUCUUCUUCUAUGUGGGUCAGCAGAGCUGAGAGUUUCAGCCGGUUUUGUAACAACUUGCAGAUCAAAGAAUAUUUGGAUUGAAGCCAGCUACCCAUCCCAAGAGCGUUAUUCCCCGUUCAGCCCUUAAAGCUCUUCCCUGGCUCUCUGAUGCGUUAAUAUCCAUGAAGGAAAAACAUGAGGAAAGCAUCAAGUCCCAGUCUCACACACAGAGAAGCAACGGGGUAGGAGUGGGUGAAGGAGAUGCACGUGGGCACUCUCAUAUGGGAACACUGCCAAAGCAGCUUCUUGUGAGCCCCUGCCAUCCCCUCUCCUUUUUGCAGGCAUUUUUACUGCAGCUGUCCAAGUAGGAUGGAGAAGCAAAUAGAAGAUAUUCUGGCUGGUGCUUCUAGGUGAGCUGUUCAGACAUUGACCUGUGUGUAGUUAAACAAAUCAACCCGUCUGCAAGGAUUUGUGCGAGAAAACAAAUGACAGAGCAAACAGAGGACAGAACAGCUGUGACAGCAGUAAGGACUGAGCCUCACCCUUUAAAAGGUUUUCGAGUCUCAGUGAUUCCUAUUACAGAUGGAGUGGAAUUAGGAACCUUGAGUGUGUACUUCUGUCCUCACAGGGGAAUACCGGAGCAAAAAAACAUGCUGUUCUCACAGCUCAAUUACAAUGAGGAAAACACUGACUCUAAUGGCAA